GACGAACGCUGGCGGCGUGCUUAACACAUGCAAGUCGAACGGAAAGGCCCUGCUUUUGUGGGGUGCUCGAGUGGCGAACGGGUGAGUAACACGUGAGUAACCUGCCCUUGACUUUGGGAUAACUUCAGGAAACUGGGGCUAAUACCGGAUAGGAGCUCCUGCUGCAUGGUGGGGGUUGGAAAGUUUCGGCGGUUGGGGAUGGACUGGAGGCUUAUCAGCUUGUUGGUGGGGUAGUGGCGUACCAAGGGUUUGACGGGUAGCCGGCCUGAGAGGGUGAACGGCGACCAGGGGACUGCGAGACGGCCCAGACGCCUACGGGAGGCAGCAGUGGGGAACAUUGCACAAUGGGCGGAAGCCUGAUGCAGCAACGCCGCGUGCGGGAUGACGGCCUUCGGGUUGUAAACCGCUUUCGCCUGUGACGAAGCGUGAGUGACGGUAAUGGGUAAAGAAGCACCGGCUAACUACGUG
rnacentral:rRNA from 1 species